UGUGUACUCCCUCCGUCCUAAAAUAAGUGACUCAACUUUGUAUACAAGGUUAGUAUACAAAGUUGAGUCACUUAUUUUAGGACGGAGGGAGUAUUUG
rnacentral:pre_miRNA from 1 species